rnacentral:SRP_RNA from 1 species
UCUGGGUGUGGUGGUGCACACCUGUGAUACCUGCCACUGGAGAAUUUGAGUGGAUCACUUGAGCUCAGGAGUUCUGGGCUGCAGUGGGCUAAGUCAAUGCGAUGUCUGCACUAAGCCUGGCACAAUAUGGUGAGUCCCCAGGAGCAGGUUGCCUAAGGAGAGUUGAACCAGCCUAGGUCAGAAACAGAGCAGGUGUAAGCUGUGAUGCUCAAUAGUAGGACUGGGCUCAUGAGAGGCUGCUGCACUUCCAGUCUGGGUGAGAGGGGAAGAGCUAAUCUAA